UGUCUUCGAGGUUGGGUGCAAUUCCCUACCGGCGGUAAAGCCCGCAAGCCGUUAUGGCACGAUCCGGUGUAAUUCCGGAGCCGACAGUUACAGUCUGGAUGAGAGAAGGCG
rnacentral:ncRNA from 1 species